CAAAAUUGCAGAGGGGAAUGAGGCUCAUCAAACCCUUCAGUUGUGAUGCUGCACAGCAAUUAGGUUCCCAUCAGGGGCUCUGGAAUCACACAAGAAUGGCCUCUACUCCCAGUUUUGCUAUAAGAUUGUUAACUAAAAGUAUCACCACACAGGCUCCAAUCAAAUGCCAGCAUCCUCUUCCUUGCCACCUCUUACACAGCAAUUGAAAAUCAAUAUUCUCAUUCCAAGAAGAGAGUAGUGUCCCUAGGAUUUGGAACUAUAUGCAAAACACUCUGAAUCCUGUGUGAACGAAGGAUUGAAGAUCACUGGAGCAGAAACAGCUACAUAAUUUGAAGAGCCUAGUGUUGACUGAAAAUGUGAGGUCCUUUGUUCAAAUAUUGUUAAGAAUUACAAGACGUCAACAACAGAGUAUUAAACUACGCACAAGGCCCUUGUGGAGCUGGCCCUGCACAGAGGUCUAAACUCUACGAUUGGAUGCUGGCUUCCUAUUUCUAUUCUCUGUGGUACUAGCAAAGUUACACAGACAAAUGAAAUAAACUCAUUCCAGCUACAGCUUAAUUGAAGCUGACCGUGCAAAAACACUAACUAGCAAGACAAUGACCCUCCCCUACCUUCUUUGGCAGAAGAAGAGUUACAUGGUUACCUGACAGGCCCUAUUCAGCCGAUGGACAGUGUCAGAAGGCAGAUUCUUUGCAGACCUUCCUACUGUUUAAAUGUCUCUAUGAAAUUCUAGGCAGCUUAGUCCUGGAGCAAGUUGAGGUCUCUUAGUCCUGGAGAAACUUGGGGGAGGGACGGGAGAAAAGAAGAAGAAGAGGUAGGCAGCUAUAAGCUUCAUCAAAGGCCAGUCCCCUAAAAAAGUCAUGUCCCUGCCAAAAGUCAGUUCCCUAAAAAAGUCAUGAGAAUAAUUCUUUGACUUCAUCAGCUAGGUGUCAAAACCUCAGAGACUCCUGGAUCCUUUCAUCUUGUCUACUGCCAAGGUGAUCAAGUAGCAUCACUUAAUGAUAAUUCAUACCUUUUUCUCUCAGAUAAAGGCAAGAAACUGUGACAAACACCAAGACCCUAUGCUCUCAAUUUGGACUUAGAUCUGAGCAUUUUUUAUUAAAAGUGUGUUCUAAGAUAUAUUGGAGACUACAAUCCUGCAAAAAGAAAAAGGAUAUCAGAUUUUUUAUUUCCAAACUAGAUGGGAUCUUUGAAAUCCUUUAGUAUAUGGUUUCAAUCUUUUGGGGGUCCUGAACCAUAAACAUGUUACUUUGUAGUCCCCAAAAGCUUUAUGGAGUCUACAGAAUUCCCUGAGUCCCCCAAACAUCUCACAGAACAAGAAUUACAGACUUAGAAUCCCCCCUAUAGUAUAACCUCCCUAAGUUUUCUCAUUAGUAAAAUAAAGAUAAUAAUGGUACUUAUUUUACAGGAUCAUUACGCCAAUUGAAAGAGAUAACCUAAUACAAGUCCUUAAAAUGCACCUGGCACAUAGUUAAGUACUAAGUAAAUAUUAGAUAGGCUAGUACCUUGCAACUCUAAGUGUGGUCCUCAGACCAGCAGCCUUGGCACCUGUUGGAGCUUGUUCAAGUUGCAGAAUCACAGGCCCAACCCCAGGACUCCUGCAUCAGAGUCUGCGUGCUCACAAGUUCUCCAGGCAAUUCAUAUGCAUGCACAAGUUUAAGAAUAGCUGUUCUAGUAGUAAUAAUAAUUGUUUUCCUGGAAGAAUAUAAUAUUAUUCUUAGUAUUAUUAUUACUAUAGAAAAAUUUUUUAACCUCCUAAAUACAUAUUGCAGACAUUUUUUACUCUGCUGACAUAACUACCAUCCUGUCCUCUUGGAAAAACCCCAAUUUUGUCUAAGAAUCCACCUUUCGUGUGCUUUAAGAAAGAUAGCCCCACCUUUUGUUGCAGGAGUGAGUCACGUUUGUACAAAGCCUCACAUAACAGCCUCAUCUCCUUUGCAGUGACGAGUUGGCAAAAGACUGUGACUCAAUUCUGAAAAAUUGGAACUGUAAAGAAGCACAUUAAAAAGAUUCGAUAUCAAGUUAUCCUCAUUUUUACCAAGACACAUUUGGGAUAAAUCAGUUCCUCUUCUGCCACUGAAUAUUGUUUCAUAUGGUUUCAGCAUCUGCAGUAGCCAUCUAAGCGCCAAGACUGCAGAGAGCAUACUGAUAUUUUUGAGGCGAGAUUCAGAGAGCAAGUGGAAGCUUUAUGACACAGGUGAGCUGCUGAAUGAACCAUGUAAUGAAACAGUCUUUCCUCAUCUUAGACGUUGGAGUUACACUGUGUGGUGAGUGAUGUGUCCACUGCUUGACAUCCCUACAGGACUCAUUCCUCAACCACUCUGAGUAGUGAUAGCUGGCAGCAAUGAGGGGUGUCCCUCAUCUGAAGAGAGCCUCCUUGCCAAGAUUGUGCAACCUCAGUGCAACAACCAGCAGAUGCAGACAUAUCAAGGCCUGGCCCUGCUGCCCACUUUCAGCACCACUCCAAAGAGCUCUCCCAGAGCUAAAGCUUCUGUGGAAUUGGCUGAGGCCUUUUUGAGAAGGGACCACAAUUCCACUCUGUCAAAUCCUGCUUCCCUCGUGUUCUCCAAGGACUUCUCUAAUAAACUUCCUGCAUAUAAGCCUCCAAAUCCGAGUUUGCUCUGGAAAUACUGGUCUAUGUCUGUAUGCAACUCCUGAACUACACAGGGAAAAAGAUACCUGAGUCCGGGGCCAGCAGGUGAAUUCCUAAGCAAAUGUGUGGAGGAUCACAUUGGAGGAGAGGGCAAGUAAAUCCAAGCCCAUUAGAGGAUUCAGGUCCAGCAGAUAAUAAAGGACUAGACGCAAGGACUGCCUUUGAAGGAUAAGAUUUCAGUCCUGAGAGAAAGGGGCAAGCAAUAGCCUUAGGCAUAAAUGAUCUAGAUUCCUAAGUAAGCCCAGUGAUUCAAGUAUAGGAGAAUAAAGAAUGCAGGAAGCUAAUUGUUAGAAAUAAAAAAAGCAAGGCAGAAUAGAGUAAGCAAAGGGUCAAAGAAGCUGAGCCCUCAAUCUCUGUCUGGAUCUAGAGAUGCUUAAAUUCAUUCUCCUAAAGGGAUUCCAUGGGUUUUGGGCAGGACCUACAAGGGAGAGCGUAAUGACAAGAACUAUGGAUAUUUAGGGAAAAGGAGCUGAGCUCAUCACAAAACUUGAGGGUUGAAGAAUAAAUGACAGCAACUGGGUUUAAACCUCAACAGGACCUGACAUUUGUGAAGGCAGUUUGUCUCUAAGAUGUAAAUUUGUGUGGUUACUCUAUGUGCAUAACCCCCCACUCAAAUGAGAUCUCACCAAAUGGUUUUUCAUAACACUGCUCUUUCCUCUGUUUAGAUCUAAAGUUAUUGUUUUGCUGUUGGUGUGAAGUAUUCCUUUCCUGUAAUUCCUUUUCUAUGGUUCUUUGAUGUCCUGACACAACUUAACAAAUACUUAAUACUUUAUUAACUUAAUAAUACAAAAUAAAUAUAAAUAUCAAUGUGGUUAACAGAAUCUUAGGAAAUGGGAGUGAUGGCAUACUGCUCAAUUCACCUCCUAAAUGGACAUUCUAAACAAAUCAUGAUUUAAAAAUAAAGAGAAUUUUUCCCACAUGUUGCCCCUGUGACCACCAUUUUAAUUUGGAGAUGUGUGUAUUGGGAGGUCUCCUCCCAGAUUCUCUCUGUGAGCAGUUCUCUGCAUCUUGUGCCAUUCCUAUUGGCAUCUCGGUGCUUAGAAACUUCCCCAGUGGGAGGCCAGGC
rnacentral:lncRNA from 1 species